UGGGAGUAUAAAAAUCGUAACAAGGUUUCCGUAGGUGAACCUGCGGAAGGAUCAUUACAGUAUUCUUUUUGCCAGCGCUUAAUUGCGCGGCGAAAAAACCUUACACACAGUGUUUUUUGUUAUUACAAGAACUCUUGCUUUGGUCUGGACUAGAAAUAGUUUGGGCCAGAGGUUUACUAAACUAAACUUCAAUAUUUAUAUUGAAUUGUUAUUUAUUUUAAUUGUCAAUUUGUUGAUUAAAUUCAAAAAAUCUUCAAAACUUUCAACAACGGAUCUCUUGGUUCUCGCAUCGAUGAAGAACGCAGCGAAAUGCGAUAAGUAAUAUGAAUUGCAGAUUUUCGUGAAUCAUCGAAUCUUUGAACGCACAUUGCGCCCUUUGGUAUUCCAAAGGGCAUGCCUGUUUGAGCGUCAUUUCUCUCUCAAACCUUCGGGUUUGGUAUUGAGUGAUACUCUUAGUCGAACUAGGCGUUUGCUUGAAAUGUAUUGGCAUGAGUGGUACUGGAUAGUGCUAUAUGACUUUCAAUGUAUUAGGUUUAUCCAACUCGUUGAAUAGUUUAAUGGUAUAUUUCUCGGUAUUCUAGGCUCGGCCUUACAAUAUAACAAACAAGUUUGACCUCAAAUCAGGUAGGACUACCCGCUGAACUUAAGCAUAUAAAAAGGGGAGAGAGAAU
rnacentral:rRNA from 1 species